CAUAAUAGAACUUGUGUAAUCAAUCUUUCUUUCUGUCCUCAGCAACAAGAUUUUGAUCUCCUAUCAACCAUCAGUCACACAUGACAGGAAGGGAUCUCAAGGGACAGGCUCAGGAGUAUUCGGGGGGAGCUGCACAGACUGGAGAGCCCCUGGAGCUCUGCAAAGACAGGAACAUCUCCCUGCAGCAGGACGAGGUGCUGAGCACUGAGGUGCCCCAGGCUUUGUCCCCUGCAAGGGGACAGAUCCACUUCUGGCUGGGCAGGGCUGGGGUGCCAGGGAUGCUCUGGGCACCUGGUGACCCCUGUGAGGGGACAGGAGGCUGGGACACACACCCAGGGGAGGUGUCUGCUGCCUCCUCCCAAAGGUGGGAACUCCUGCCUGUUUCUGCACCCACCACUGUGAAAACCAUGUCCUGGUUUUGUCUCUGCAAGGAUUGCAACUUCCAGAGCACCUCAUUUGUCACUGACCCCUUUUUCCUUCCCCUGUUUCAGCUUCCCUGCAGCUCCAAGAGGUUGGAAAUGCCCAGAGAUCUCUCUCUUCCCUUGGCUGGGCACAUCCACGGCGCCUCUGCCCAACGGUGGCAGCGCCUGGGCUCUGCUGGGGACAGACAGACAGACACCUGGAGAAGCUCCUGUUGCCUCUUUUCCGGGGAGUUUGGCCCCUCCAGCCCCUCAAAUGGUGGGAUGGUUUCUGCUUGAGCAGCUGCUGCACAGGCACCAACCACAACUCCUUGCAGUGAACUGGAUGGAGAUUGCUGCUGCAUCCCAGGGCUCCCAGAGAGUCCCUGCAGAGCGAGGGGGACAUUCCUGGCAGCCCCAUCCCACUGGGGAGUGGGGACAGCCGGGCUGAGCGUGGUGGGGACACCAGGGGCUGCAGGGGGCUGAUGGUCCCCAGGAGCUCCUUCUCCAUCACCACAUCCCCUGGGCCAGGCUCCAGCCUCCUGUGAGGUGGAGGUGCAGGAAAUCCCCAAGCAGAGAUCAGACUGGGAGUCCCUGAGGCCCGAUCUCCUGGGACACGCUGUGCAGGAAGCUGAAGCUCAGCUUCUGGCUGGAUUUCCAGCAGAAAAUUGGAAUGCCAUCAGGAUGAAAUUUUCCCUACAGUGCAUUUCAAACAUGCAAAUCCUGGUUUUCCCUUGGAAAAUGUUCUCAGUUGAACUUCCCACCCUCCUACUGCACAUCUGACUGUGUUUCUGCACAUUCAGUUCCCCUGAUUGCACGGGAGGUGCUUUGGGGUUUCUCACCAUCUUUGCCUCUGGACGUUGAUGUUCCAUGUCCCAUCCUCUUACCCCUGUGUGUCCUGAGGCCAGGUGAGCUGUGUGCACCUUGUCUGAGCUGCCCCGUCCCCGCUCCAGGGUGCAGGCAGAGCUCUGCCAGCGUCUGCACAUGGCAGGAGCUGCAGCAUCACUGGCGAGGGGACACCUCACCCACACCCUGCCGUGCUCGGCCCAGGACCACCCUGCACUGAUGGUCCCGGGAGCCCAGGUCAGCCCUUGGCCUCUGUCACCGUGUGCAGGGAGGGCAGAGAGCAUCCCUGGCUGCCAGGAUCAGCUGGUGGAUGUGGCCGCGCUCCCCACACCCACAGCUCCCACCUGGGGACACCCUGCCCUGUCCUUCUGCCUUCAGAGAUCAAAGAGCCUGGGGACACAGCGAGGGGACACUCGUGCAGUGGCAGCAGCUGUCAGGGCUGGGCCUGGCUGCU
rnacentral:lncRNA from 1 species